UUACGGCCAUACGACGUUGAAACACCAGUUCUCGUACGAUCACCGAAGUUAAGCAACGUCGAGCUUGGUCAGUACCUAGAUGGGUGACCGCUUGGGAAUACCAGGUGCUGUAA